rnacentral:tRNA from 1 species
GCUGCGAUGCCGGAGUGGUCUAACGGGUGAGACUUGAAAUCUCAUGUUCUUUGAACGCGCAGGUUCAAAUCCUGUUCGCAGCG